CCCACCAGUAACGUCACUACCACAGUCCUCUGCCCACUGGCCCAACACCGCCUCUGUUUCCGCUGCUGCCGCAGGUUGGCCGUCGCCGCCCCGGCCUCGGGGCCCGGCGGUGACCUGACCGGCGACCCAUGAUGACGUCACUGGGACAGGCGGUGUCGUUGUGCCUCCGGGUAACGUUUGCGAUCGUCCUCGUUGCCAUCCUGCUGAACAUGGCGUACGGCCUCUUCAUCGGAGUCAGCGAGUUCUACGGUCACGAAGAGCUGAAGCCGGUGCAGUAGCGCCUGAUGAAAACGGGGAUGAAGCUGGUGCGGGUGGCGGUGCUGGAGGCCAUGCUGAACCAGGGACGAUUUCAGUUUUGGCCCUUCGAGCCCCGGCCGGUGUUGAAACCGGCGCAGAAGCCGGUUCGGUAUCGCGUGCUGUAGACGGCAGCGACCCCGAAUUGCACCGAAGCGAGCAGGGAGGAAGGCCCAGGAGAAUGCGUUGGUGACUCCAAGGGGCCAGCGUUCCAGACCUUGACAGUGCAGAGACCCUGAAAUCCUGUGACGCUGUGACCCUGUGACCCACGCGACCUUGUUGACCUCACCGUAGGCCCUCAGCAACGCAGCUCCGACCGACUGCUUAUCGAGUUCAGCGCUGCACGCGGUAGCGGGGUGCGGUCCCAGCAGCCGCGCGGGCACAAGGUCACGUCGUCGGUCGCUCGCUGCUGAUGACCUGCGCUCCCGGCGCUGACGAUGAUGCACGUCAGGUGACCCGGCGCGUCCUUCUAGUCCUGUAAUUUCGGCGUUGUUGCAAGUCGUGAAAACGUGCCUGCUAGGCAAGAAGCCACAAGCUGGAUUUUCUUUGGGGUGUCGCGUGCUGUGAUGGAUCCUUUUCCUCCGAUCAAGCAGGUCACAUUUCUGGACAACGUCAAUGCUCUGCUUGCUCCGAUAGCUAUCAUGGCUGUUAAAUGCAAUGUAGAUGCAAAGCAACUUGUUGAGAAGAACCAGCCUACGUGCCCGGAUAAAUGUCAGCCGUUAGCCAAUAGAGAAAUGUGAGGCC